ensembl:lncRNA
CUUGAGGAGGAAGGACGUUGCUAAAAUGGUGCAUGCAUAUGAAAUGAAAGGUCUUCAUUUCCCCUUACAUGGUUGAUUAGGGGCUCAGCAUUGGUGUUGACGGGAUGUAUGUGAGCAACAGAGGUGCAUCCUGUGACGACUACGACCUCUGCUGGUUCACCUCCCCCUGCAGCGGGCGGGCCCCGGCGGUCGACGUCACCGGCUUUCUGACACCACCGUCUCAUCAUGCAUUUCACCUGUGUCUCGUUUAGUGCACCUGUUCAUCAUCGCUGUUUCCCCCGGUAUAUAUGUUCCCUCUGCUCCCCCUGUCUUUGUGUGUGAUUGUUCUCUGCCACAGUCAGAGCUGUAUGCGCUUGUGUAAGACGCUCGUUCUGUUUAUUUUGUGCUAUUCAUAUAUAAAAACCUUCAUCCGCCACGCCUUCUCCGGUUCCUCCUUUG